ensembl:snoRNA snoRNA:Me28S-G980
GCUAGCGUGAUGAGUUUAUUACUAAUCUUUCGGGUAUGAAAUUCAAUGAUUUCAACUUCACUGCUGACCAG